rnacentral:tRNA from 1 species
CGGAGCAUAGCUCAGCCUGGUAGAGCACAGCUUUCGGGAAGCUGGGGUCGGAGGUUCGAAUCCUCUUGCUCCGACCA